rnacentral:rRNA from 1 species
AGGUUGACCUCGGAUCAGGUAGGGAUACCCGCUGAACUUAAGCAUAUCAAUAAGCGGAGGAAAAGAAACCAACAGGGAUUGCCUCAGUAACGGCGAGUGAAGCGGCAAGAGCUCAAAUUUGAAAUCCGGCCCCCCUGGGGGCCUGAGUUGUAAUUUGCAGAGGAUGCUUCGGGCGCGACCGCGGUCCAAGUCCCCUGGAACGGGGCGUCGUAGAGGGUGAGAAUCCCGUCUCCGGCCGGCCGGUCUCGCCCGUGUGAAGCUCCUUCGACGAGUCGAGUUGUUUGGGAAUGCAGCUCCAAAUGGGUGGUAAAUUUCAUCUAAAGCUAAAUACUGGUCGGAGACCGAUAGCGCACAAGUAGAGUGAUCGAAAGAUGAAAAGCACUUUGAAAAGAGAGUUAAACAGCAUGUGAAAUUGUUGAAAGGGAAGCGCUUGCGACCAGAGUCGGCCGCGGGGGUUCAGCGGGCAUUCGUUGCCUGUGCAAUCCCCCGCGGCCGGGCCAGCGUCGGUUUCGACGGCCGGUCAAAGGCCCCCGGAAUGUGUCGCCUCUCGGGGCGUCUUAUAGCCGGGGGUGCAAUGCGGCCAGUCGGGACCGAGGAACGCGCUCCGGCACGGACGCUGGCUUAAUGGUCGUCAGCGACCCG